AAAAAAAAAAAAAAAAUGUUCAUGUCUCAUUCUCUCUCUCUUCUCCUUUUGGAUAUCCAGUGAUAUGUAUGUUACACUGUUUGAUAUUGUCUUAUAAGUCUCUGAGGCUCUAUUCCCUUUUAAAUUAUCUUUCCAUUCUUCAGACUACAUUAAUUCCUAUUGAUGUAACUUCAAGUUUAAUGACCCUUUCCUCUGUCAUCUCCAACCUGCUGUCAAACCCAUUUAGUGAAUUUUUAAAAAUAUAAAACUUUUGUAAGCAAUUUUAGGCUUCUCCUAACUUUCCUUAAUGUUAAUAUCCUACACAACUACAGCACAAUUACCAAAACCAGAAUAUUAACACUUGCUCAAAACAAUGAAUUUAUCUACUGACCUUAUAAGAGUUUUGCCAGUUUCCCCACUAAUGUUCUUUUUUUCAGUCCAGGAUCCAAUCCAAGAUUCCACAAAGAAUUGUCAUACCUCUUUAGUCUCCUCUAAUCUGUUUUUCAGUCUUUAUAUUUGAAAUAGCUGUGGUUAGUUAUUCUGUAAAAUGCCCCUCAAUUUUUGGUCUGAUGUUUUUUCACAGUUUGAUGGUGGUUAUGCAUUUUUGCCAAGCAUAUCAUAGAAGUGAUGCUGUGAGCUUGUAAACAUAUAUUAUUAUCAGAGAGUACUGAUGUUGACAUAGCAACAUCAGUAGUAGUGAUGUUAGUUUUGAUAACUUGGUUAAAGUGAUGUCUACCAAGGUUUUCACUGUGAAGCUACUAUUUCCCCCCCCACCCUUGUUUUUUUUUUUUUUUACAAAAAAAGAUUAUUUUGUGGGAAAUUAUUUUGAAAUUAUGCAAAUAUCCUCUUUCUCAUCAUACAUUUGUCCACUAAUUUUUGCACCCACCAAUGAUUCUCUCCUGCAAUAUUUAUUACUUUGGUUUUUGCCUAAUGGUGAUUUUUCUGUUUUUCAGAAACCAUGACCUGGACCCUGGUAGCUCUGUGAUCCUUUUCCAUAUCUCAAUUUGCUCAUCAGUAUAUUGGACUGUUUAGAUCUUUCCCAACAUUAAAAGCUUAUCUAUCUAUUUUCACAGCACUCAGUAGUACUUUCACUGGUCUUUUUUUUUUUUUUUU